rnacentral:rRNA from 1 species
GGAAUGUCUAGUAUAAGCAAUUAUACCGUGAAACUGCGAAUGGCUCAUUAAAUCAGUUAUCGUUUAUUUGAUAGUACCUUACUACUUGGAUAACCGUGGUAAUUCUAGAGCUAAUACAUGCUGAAAACCCCAACUUCGGGAGGGGUGUAUUUAUUAGAUAAAAAACCAACGCCCUUCGGGGCUUCUUGGUGAUUCAUGAUAACUUUACGGAUCGCAUGGCCUUGCGCCGGCGACGGUUCAUUCAAAUUUCUGCCCUAUCAACUUUCGAUGGUAAGGUAUUGGCUUACCAUGGUUUCAACGGGUAACGGGGAAUUAGGGUUCGAUUCCGGAGAGGGAGCCUGAGAAACGGCUACCACAUCCAAGGAAGGCAGCAGGCGCGCAAAUUACCCAAUCCCGACACGGGGAGGUAGUGACAAUAAAUACUGAUACAGGGCUCUUUUGGGUCUUGUAAUUGGAAUGAGUACAAUUUAAACCUCUUAACGAGGAACAAUUGGAGGGCAAGUCUGGUGCCAGCAGCCGCGGUAAUUCCAGCUCCAAUAGCGUAUAUUAAAGUUGUUGCAGUUAAAAAGCUCGUAGUUGAAACUUGGGUCUGGCUGGCAGGUCCGCCUCACCGCGUGUACUUGUCCGGCCGGGCCUUCCUUCUGGAGAACCUCAUGCCCUUCACUGGGCGUGUUGGGGACCAGGACUUUUACUUUGAAAAAAUUAGAGUGUUCAAAGCAGGCCUUUGCUCGAAUACGUUAGCAUGGAAUAAUAGAAUAGGACGUGCGGUCCUAUUUUGUUGGUUUCUAGGACCGCCGUAAUGAUUAAUAGGGACAGUCGGGGGCAUCAGUAUUCAAUUGUCAGAGGUGAAAUUCUUGGAUUUAUUGAAGACUAACUACUGCGAAAGCAUUUGCCAAGGAUGUUUUCAUUAAUCAGUGAACGAAAGUUAGGGGAUCGAAGACGAUCAGAUACCGUCGUAGUCUUAACCGUAAACUAUGCCGACUAGGGAUCGGGCGAUGUUCUUUUUCUGACUCGCUCGGCACCUUACGAGAAAUCAAAGUUUUGGGCUCUGGGGGAGAG